rnacentral:rRNA from 1 species
CCCUGCCCCAUGCUCCAGAAUAGCUCUUGGAAACAGGUGCUAAUACCGGAUAAGAAAGCAGAUCGCAUGAUCAGCUUUUAAAAGGCGGCGUAAGCUGUCGCUAUGGGAUGGCCCCGCGGUGCAUUAGCUAGUUGGUAAGGUAAAGGCUUACCAAGGCGAUGAUGCAUAGCCGAGUUGAGAGACUGAUCGGCCACAUUGGGACUGAGACACGGCCCAAACUCCUACGGGAGGCAGCAGGC